AAGAACUUAAACCGCACAUAAGAGA
rnacentral:sRNA from 1 species